UACGAAGGGGGCUAGCGUUGCUCGGAAUCACUGGGCGUAAAGCGCGCGUAGACGGUUUUGUAAGUCAGAUGUGAAAUCCCUGGGCUCAACCUGGGAACUGCAUUUGAGACUGCAUGGCUAGAGUAUGGAAGAGGGAAGUGGAAUUUCCGGUGUAGCGGUGAAAUGCGUAGAUAUCGGAAGGAACACCAGUGGCGAAAGCGGACUUCCUGGUCCAAUACUGACGUUCAUGUGCGAAAGCGUGGGGAGCAAACAGGG
rnacentral:rRNA from 1 species